AGAGUUUGAUCCUGGCUCAGGAUGAACGCUAGCGAUAGGCUUAACACAUGCAAGUCGAGGGGCAGCAUGGUCUUAGCUUGCUAAGACUGAUGGCGACCGGCGCACGGGUGCGUAACGCGUAUGCAACUUGCCUCACAGAGGGGGAUAACCCGUCGAAAGACGGACUAAUACCGCGUACACUCUAUGUUGGGCAUCCAAUGUAGAGGAAAUGAACUUCGCUGUGAGAUAGGCAUGCGUCCCAUUAGCUAGUUGGUGAGGUAACGGCUCACCAAGGCGACGAUGGGUAGGGGAACUGAGAGGUUGAACCCCCACACUGGUACUGAGACACGGACCAGACUCCUACGGGAGGCAGCAGUGAGGAAUAUUGGUCAAUGGGCGAGAGCCUGAACCAGCCAAGUCGCGUGAAGGAUGACUGUCUUAUGGAUUGUAAACUUCUUUUAUACGGGAAUAACAAGAGUCACGUGUGGCUCCCUGCAUGUACCGUAUGAAUAAGCAUCGGCUAACUCCGUGCCAGCAGCCGCGGUAAUACGGAGGAUGCGAGCGUUAUCCGGAUUUAUUGGGUUUAAAGGGUGCGUAGGCGGCCUGUUAAGUCAGCGGUGAAAUCUAGGAGCUUAACUCCUAAAUUGCCAUUGAUACUGGCGGGCUUGAGUGUAGAUGAGGUAGGCGGAAUGCGUGGUGUAGCGGUGGAAUGCAUAGAUAUCACGCAGAACUCCGAUUGCGAAGGCAGCUUACUAAGGUACAACUGACGCUGAAGCACGAAAGCGUGGGUAUCAAACAGGAUUAGAUACCCUGGUAGUCCACGCAGUAAACGAUGAUAACUGGGCGUAUGCGAUAUACAGUAUGCUCCUAAGCGAAAGCGUUAAGUUAUCCACCUGGGGAGUACGCCGGCAACGGUGAAACUCAAAGGAAUUGACGGGGGCCCG
rnacentral:rRNA from 1 species